rnacentral:rRNA from 1 species
AUUGAACGCUGGCGGCAGGCCUAACACAUGCAAGUCGAGCGGCAGCGGGACCUUCGGGUUGCCGGCGAGCGGCGGACGGGUGAGUAAUGCCUAGGAAUCUGCCUGUUAGUGGGGGAUAACGCGGGGAAACUCGCGCUAAUACCGCAUACGUCCUACGGGAGAAAGCGGGGGCUCUUCGGACCUCGCGCUAACAGAUGAGCCUAGGUCGGAUUAGCUAGUUGGUGGGGUAAUGGCCCACCAAGGCGACGAUCCGUAACUGGUCUGAGAGGAUGAGCAGUCACACUGGAACUGAGACACGGUCCAGACUCCUACGGGGGGCAGCAGUGGGGAAUAUUGGACAAUGGGCGAAAGCCUGAUCCAGCCAUGCCGCGUGUGUGAAGAAGGUCUUCGGAUUGUAAAGCACUUUAAGUCGGGAGGAAGGGCUGUAGGCCAAUACCUUGCAGUUUUGACGUUACCGACAGAAUAAGCACCGGCUAACUUCGUGCCAGCCGCCGCCGUAA